UGGGUCUUAUUCUAAGAGGAUUCUUGUCAUUGCACUGCAUCCAUAUCGAGUCUCCAAGAUUUGCUUUCCACUGCUUAUAUGAGAUCCCAGUAGCGGUAUUUUGAUAAUUUUGCACAUCCGUACUUAAACAACUUGUAAUCCCUUUCUGUCCAACAUUUUGCGUUCGUGAUCCUCCUGCUCCAUGCCUAGCAGAAAGUUCUGGAAAGUCGGUGUUAUAUUCCGCUGAGACGGAGGAGCUUCCAGGCGCCUAAAUAGUUGGCUUGGAGAGGGAUGGGGACGGUAAAUGGGUCUUAUUUUAAGACCCAUGCUCGAGUAUCAUCCGAUACUGAUGUCAAUUGGAGAGCGAGGUUUUUUCCCAACUGACACUUUUUUGGCGCUCCAGAACUCCGGAGAUUGGUCUGUAAACUACGUGCAUUUUGUUGAAGGCAACCUUGGAGAUAGUGACUGAGAUAUCCAAGAAUUUAGCCGGAAAAAGUACAGGGCUUCUCUGUAAAUGACAAGUUUCUUUAUGUUUUAAAGAAAAAUGUGCGAAAACAGGGAUUUGAAGAAAACUGUGUGGGACUUCUCAAUCUGUACAGGGUACUAGUGGACCAUGGUUCUGAUAAUGCAAUCAAUGUGCCACAUGUGGAAGUGGAAAGAGAAAUUAGUAAUAGAUUUCCACAAAUGUGGAUUCAUCUAUUUUCAUUUGUGUUCUUACAUGGUGUUUUGGACGACAAUUUGAACUACUUGCUGAAUCGAAGACCUCCCAUUUCUGAAUAUUGAUGAAGAGAUUGAUGAAGAACGAGAAUAAUGCCUUGUGUGGGAUUGUGAUUGUACUACUUUUCUUUUAGUGUUAAUGAAAUAUUUUAUAAGAACAAGAAUAAUGAUUUGUGUGGGAUUGUGAUUGCA